rnacentral:piRNA from 1 species
UGCAGGCUGCUGAUCACAGAGCAAGAGGUGU